rnacentral:rRNA from 1 species
GAUGAACGCUAGCUACAGGCUUAACACAUGCAAGUCGAGGGGCAGCGGUAUCGAAAGCUUGCUUUCGGUAGCCGGCGACCGGCGCACGGGUGAGUAACGCGUAUCGAACCUGCCUCAUACUCGGGAAUAGCCUUGCGAAAGUAAGAUUAAUGCCCGGUGUUUUCAGAGUCCCGCACGAGGCUUUGAACAAAGAUUUAUCGGUUUGAGAUGGCGAUGCGUCCCAUUAGCUUGUUGGCGGGGUAACGGCCCACCAAGGCAUCGAUGGGUAGGGGUUCUGAGAGGAAGGUCCCCCACAUUGGAACUGAGACACGGUCCAAACUCCUACGGGAGGCAGCAGUGAGGAAUAUUGGUCAAUGGGCGGAAGCCUGAACCAGCCAAGUAGCGUGCAGGAAGACGGCCCUCCGGGUUGUAAACUGCUUUUAGUUGGGAAUAAAACGGGGCUCGUGAGCCCCCUUGCAUGUACCAUCAGAAAAAGGACCGGCUAAUUCCGUGCCAGCCGCCGCAGUAA